AACGAACGCUGGCGGCAUGCCUAACACAUGCAAGUCGAACGAGACCUUCGGGUCUAGUGGCGCACGGGUGCGUAACGCGUGGGAAUCUGCCCUGGGGUGCGGAAUAACUCGGAGAAAUCCGUGCUAAUACCGCAUAAUGUCUUCGGACCAAAGAUUUAUCGCCCUGGGAUGAGCCCGCGUAGGAUUAGCUAGUUGGUGGGGUAAAGGCCUACCAAGGCGACGAUCCUUAGCUGGUCUGAGAGGAUGAUCAGCCACACUGGGACUGAGACACGGCCCAGACUCCUACGGGAGGCAGCAGUGGGGAAUAUUGGACAAUGGGCGAAAGGCCUGAUCCAGCAAUGCCGCGUGAGUGAUGGAAGG
rnacentral:rRNA from 1 species